UACGGGGGGAGCAAGCGUUGUUCGGAUUUACUGGGCGUAAAGGGCGCGUAGGCGGCGCAACAAGUCACUUGUGAAAUCUCCGGGCUUAACCCGGAGCGGCCAAGUGAUACUGUCGUGCUAGAGUGCGGAAGGGGCUACUGGAAUUCUCGGUGUAGCGGUGAAAUGCGUAGAUAUCGAGAGGAACACCUGCGGCGAAGGCGGGUAGCUGGGCCGACACUGACGCUGAGGCGCGAAAGCCAGGGGGAGCGGAACGGG
rnacentral:rRNA from 1 species